rnacentral:rRNA from 1 species
GAAGGGGAGUGAAAUAGAACCUGAAACCGUGUGCUUACAAGUAGUCAGAGCCCGUUAAUGGGUGAUGGCGUGCCUUUUGUAGAAUGAACCGGCGAGUUACGAUUUGAUGCAAGGUUAAGCAGUAAAUGUGGAGCCGUAGCGAAAGCGAGUCUGAAUAGGGCGUUUAGUAUUUGGUCGUAGACCCGAAACCAGGUGAUCUACCCUUGGUCAGGUUGAAGUUCAGGUAACACUGAAUGGAGGACCGAACCGACUUACGUUGAAAAGUGAGCGGAUGAACUGAGGGUAGCGGAGAAAUUCCAAUCGAACCUGGAGAUAGCUGGUUCUCUCCGAAAUAGCUUUAGGGCUAGCCUCAAGUGAUGAUUAUUGGAGGUAGAGCACUGUUUGGACGAGGGGCCCCUCUCGGGUUACCGAAUUCAGACAAACUCCGAAUGCCAAUUAAUUUAACUUGGGAGUCAGAACAUGGGUGAUAAGGUCCGUGUUCGAAAGGGAAACAGCCCAGACCACCAGCUAAGGUCCCAAAAUAUAUGUUAAGUGGAAAAGGAUGUGGCGUUGCCCAGACAACUAGGAUGUUGGCUUAGAAGCAGCCAUCAUUUAAAGAGUGCGUAAUAGCUCACUAGUCGAGUGACACUGCGCCGAAAAUGUACCGGGGCUAAACAUAUUACCGAAGCUGUGGAUUGUCCUUUGGACAAUGGUAGGAGAGCGUUCUAAGGGCGUUGAAGCAUGAUCGUAAGGACAUGUGGAGCGCUUAGAAGUGAGAAUGCCGGUGUGAGUAGCGAAAGACGGGUGAGAAUCCCGUCCACCGAUUGACUAAGGUUUCCAGAGGAAGGCUCGUCCGCUCUGGGUUAGUCGGGUCCUAAGCUGAGGCCGACAGGCGUAGGCGAUGGAUAACAGGUUGAUAUUCCUGUACCACCUAUAAUCGUUUUAAUCGAUGGGGGGACGCAGUAGGAUAGGCGAAGCGUGCGAUUGGAUUGCACGUCUAAGCAGUAAGGCUGAGUAUUAGGCAAAUCCGGUACUCGUUAAGGCUGAGCUGUGAUGGGGAGAAGACAUUGAGUCUUCGAGUCGUUGAUUUCACACUGCCGAGAAAAGCCUCUAGAUAGAAAAUAGGUGCCCGUACCGCAAACCGACACAGGUAGUCAAGAUGAGAAUUCUAAGGUGAGCGAGCGAACUCUCGUUAAGGAACUCGGCAAAAUGACCCCGUAACUUCGGGAGAAGGGGUGCUCUUUAGGGUUAACGCCCAGAAGAGCCGCAGUGAAUAGGCCCAAGCGACUGUUUAUCAAAAACACAGGUCUCUGCUAAACCGUAAGGUGAUGUAUAGGGGCUGACGCCUGCCCGGUGCUGGAAGGUUAAGAGGAGUGGUUAGCUUCUGCGAAGCUACGAAUCGAAGCCCCAGUAAACGGCGGCCGUAACUAUAACGGUCCUAAGGUAGCGAAAUUCCUUGUCGGGUAAGUUCCGACCCGCACGAAAGGCGUAACGAUUUGGGCACUGUCUCAACGAGAGACUCGGUGAAAUCAUAGUACCUGUGAAGAUGCAGGUUACCCGCGACAGGACGGAAAGACCCCGUGGAGCUUUACUGUAGCCUGAUAUUGAAAUUCGGCACAGCUUGUACAGGAUAGGUAGGAGCCUUUGAAACGUGAGCGCUAGCUUACGUGGAGGCGCUGGUGGGAUACUACCCUAGCUGUGUUGGCUUUCUAACCCGCACCACUUAUCGUGGUGGGAGACAGUGUCAGGCGGGCAGUUUGACUGGGGCGGUCGCCUCCUAAAAGGUAACGGAGGCGCUCAAAGGUUCCCUCAGAAUGGUUGGAAAUCAUUCAUAGAGUGUAAAGGCAUAAGGGAGCUUGACUGCGAGACCUACAAGUCGAGCAGGGUCGAAAGACGGACUUAGUGAUCCGGUGGUUCCGCAUGGAAGGGCCAUCGCUCAACGGAUAAAAGCUACCCCGGGGAUAACAGGCUUAUCUCCCCCAAGAGUUCACAUCGACGGGGAGGUUUGGCACCUCGAUGUCGGCUCAUCGCAUCCUGGGGCUGUAGUCGGUCCCAAGGGUUGGGCUGUUCGCCCAUUAAAGCGGUACGCGAGCUGGGUUCAGAACGUCGUGAGACAGUUCGGUCCCUAUCCGUCGUGGGCGUAGGAAAUUUGAGAGGAGCUGUCCUUAGUACGAGAGGACCGGGAUGGACAUACCUCUGGUGUACCAGUUGUCGUGCCAACGGCAUAGCUGGGUAGCUAUGUGUGGACGGGAUAAGUGCUGAAAGCAUCUAAGCAUGAAGCCCCCCUCAAGAUGAGAUUUCCCAACUUCGGUUAUAAGAUCCCUCAAAGAUGAUGAGGUUAAUAGGUUCGAGGUGGAAGCAUGGUGACAUGUGGAGCUGACGAAUACUAAUCGAUCGAAGACUUAAUCAA